rnacentral:rRNA from 1 species
UGGGGAAUAUUGCACAAUGGGCGCAAGCCUGAUGCAGCCAUGCCGCGUGUAUGAAGUAGGCCUUCGGGUUGUAAAGUACUUUCAGUCGGGAGGAAGGUGGUAAGGUUAAUAACCUUAUCAAUUGACGUUACCGACAGAAGAAGCACCGGCUAACUCCGUGUCAGCAGCCGCGGUAAUACGGAGGGUGCAAGCGUUAAUCGGAAUUACUGGGCGUAAAGCGCACGCAGGCGGUUGAUUGAGUCAGAUGUGAAAUCCCCGGGCUUAACCCGGGAAUUGCAUCUGAUACUGGUCAGCUAGAGUCUUGUAGAGGGGGGUAGAAUUCCAUGUGUAGCGGUGAAAUGCGUAGAGAUGUGGAGGAAUACCGGUGGCGAAGGCGGCCCCCUGGACAAAGACUGACGCUCAGGUGCGAAAGCGUGGGGAGCAAACAGG